ensembl:lncRNA
CAUGCAUAUGUUCAUGUCACACAAGUAUUACAAGGCAUGAAAGUUAUGUGACAAUUACAACUCUCACAUUUGACUCUGUUCAUUAAAUCUUUCAGAUGUUGACAAAAGGGAAGACAUUUUCUCUGAACAGGAUGAUGCAAACCAGUAUCAUGUCUACAACUUUAUAUCGGACCCACCAAGUAUCUCCAACCAGGGGGACCCCACAUACAGCUUGGUGCAGGACCACAGGAGCCCUGUUGUCACACAGCAGGACAUGACCUACAGCCUUCUGCAGGUGCACUGAUACAGCUGCACUUACCGCAUAUAGCAUUUAUUAUGUUUUAAAUGGCUUGUGUUGUGUUUUGGAAUGCCUGCAAAUAGAGAAAAUAACUACAAUGACUAUGGUCUAUUGAGGGUUUGAUGGACAUCUUCUCCAGUGAAAUUUCUGUUGUAUUUUAGCUAGAAUGUAAAGAUUUCCGGAGGCAAGUUAAAUACCGGUUUGCAGUAUAUAGGCAGAUUUACUAAUGGUAAAUACAUUGUUAAAUAAGCCACGCCCACAUACGCAUGUCCCAAAAUUGCCCGGAAUUACUGCCUCUCUGAGUACAUCUGCCACUUAGUAGAGUAUUUUCAUCAAAUGUUAAAUCAGUAGGCUAGUUAUUAUUGUUAGUUUUAGAUAAGAAAUUAAAACUUGACUUCAUAACGUGCAUAAACAUUCACAUAAUAAGACAUAAACCUCUAUAUAAUAUAUAUAAAAAAUAUGUAUAUACAUCACAAUACACAAAAGAAUAAAAGAAAUGCCAGAUGUGAAGAGGGUGAAAGAUGUCAUCUUGUCCUCUGAGUGGUUGGAAAGAGCAAAGACGAGGCCGUUUGACCUCUAAGUAGUUUUAAUAGAUUGAGGAAGUAGGCAGCUGACAGACAAAUAGGAAACUGCUAAACUCAACUAAAGAUGGUCUGACACUCAAACACCACAAUUGUCACUGAGGCUUGUUCAGCGACUUUGACCUGACGAUGCAUUAUUUCCUCUAGCUGGGU